rnacentral:rRNA from 1 species
UCCCUUAGAUGUUCUGGGCCGCACGCGCGCUACACUGAAGGGAUCAGCGUGUUUUCCCUUCCCGAGAGGGACGGGUAACCCGCUGAACCCCCUUCGUGGUAGGGAUCGGAGCUUGCAAUUGUUCUCCGUGAACCAGGAAUUCCCAGUAAGCGCAAGUCAUAAGCUUGCGUUGAUUACGUCCCUGCCCUUUGUACACACCGCCCGUCGCUACUACCGAUUGAACGUUUUAGUGAGGUAUUUGGACUGGGCCUUGGGAGGUUUCGGCCUCCCUUGUUGCUCGGAAAGACUCCCAAACUUGAGCGUUUAGAGGAAGUAAAAGUCGUAACA